rnacentral:rRNA from 1 species
GUGGUGCACGGGGGGCCUACGGGAGUGCAUCAGUCGGGGAAUAUUGGACAAUGGGGGGAACCCUGAUCCUAGCCAUGCCGCCGAUGUGUCGAAGAAGGCCUUAUCGGUUAGUAGACAGCACUUUCACACGCAGAGGGCAGGAGGCUACUCUUCAGCUUGAAUUACCUAGGAAGUAUAGGUGUGACGUUCACUCGCAGUAAUAAGCACCGGCUAACUCUGUGCCUAAGUCGAGCCGCGGUAAUACAAUCUAC